UACGUAGGCAGCGAGCGUUGUUCGGAGUUACUGGGCGUAAAGGGUGCGUAGGCGGUUCUUUAAGUUUGGUGUGAAAUCUCCCGGCUCAACCGGGAGGGUGCGCCGAAUACUGAGGGACUAGAGUGCGGGAGAGGAAAGUGGAAUUCCUGGUGUAGCGGUGAAAUGCGUAGAGAUCGGGAGGAACACCAGAGGCGAAGGCGGCUAACUGGACAGUGACUGACACUCAACUGCGAAAGCGUGGGGAGCAAACAGG
rnacentral:rRNA from 1 species